UCCAAUCAAGGGCACAGUAGUCAGAGUUUUUCAUGAACCAGACCCCUUUGAGAGUGCCAAAAGUCUGAACCGUCCUGGGGAUCUUGUGACAACACAACACUCAAGACCCUAAGAAAGCAGAAACAGGACCUGGUCAGACCUUCCCUAUAGAAGUGCACAGUGCCUGGCCCCAACAUCGAGUGUGGAAUCAAAAAUUAGGCUGGAAGAAGCAGUAAAAAAUAAAAGAAUCCCAUCAUUUAAAACCACCCCGACUUUCAUGGUUUUUGUUCUCAAGAUGUAAACUGAGAAGAAGAGAAUGACUAAAACCUCAACAAGUUUUACUUAGGAGAAAUUCCAAGGCUUGAAGGAAAAAGGGCCCUCCUAGAAAUGAGCCUUCAUCUGAUUUUCCACUAACAUUUGACAAGGAAAGAGGCAUUAGGUUAAGAUGAGGAAGAAAGAGCUGCCAAAUGGAAGAGAUAUAUUUUCUUAGUGGUCCCUCCUUUGCUACAACCCCAUCCUACCACCUGCUGUAUGGCUUCAGGUAGGACACAAACUCUCUGACCUGUGAUAUCUAUUCAUUUGGUCUGGAAUCAGAUGCUCUGCAUGAUGGAAAUAUAUAUUUGCUGUCCAAAGGCAAGGCACUGGGGGGUGGGUGGGGGAGAUCAGCUAAUUAGUCAAUCUGUAAGUCUUUAUUCAGCACCUGCUCUGAACCACACACUGUGAUGGACAUCAGAAUAGAAAUCUCUUGGCUUAUCCUUUUCAUUUUAAGAACUGAGUCUAUGAGUGGUACUGCUGGGUGAGUUGGCAGCUGGUGCUUCCCAGCUUGAUGUUGCCAGUUUGAAUGUUUGGUAAGCCACAAGACCUUGUGGCAAAUCAGAACACUAAGCUAUAAAUGAAAAAUCCAUUUGAGAACCAGUGGUUUAGCACUACACAUAUGAAUGUUUAAUAAAUGAAUUAUAAAAAAGAAUUCUUUAUUCCUUUUUAAAUUUAAUGGGGACCCUGGAGGUCCUCUUACUAUAGAGAUAUGUAGGGAUUAACCAGCCCACAGUGACAGGAAGUAGGAAUCAGGGAGCCCCCUGCUGGGAAAGGGGCAGUUGGGCAGGCUAUCAGUUGUUGGCAGUUAGGGCUGGCAGUUGUGGGGAAGUUGUCUGCUGGGUGUGAGUUGGUCAUUGGGGGUUGGUUGCUGGUGGUAUGGGUUGGUGAUUAGUUGGUGGUUGGGAGAUAUAUAUCUAUAUAAUAAUAAUAACAUAUAUAUAAUACACACAUAUAUAUUCUGCCUGGUGAGUUGAACUGAAGGGUGAUCAGCUGAACUUUCUCUAAUGGCAGUUUUUAGCAGCAGUUAUAGGUAGAUAUAGGCAUUUUUAGGUAGUAAACUAAAUUAUUAAUCAUUAAAAGCUGCUAGAAGUUUUCUCUGACUUAAAGGGAUAAUAUUAAUUUACAACUCUGCUAUGUUCUCAUUAAAACAUCAAUUAUUAAAAGCUGGUCUCUUAUUUUGUCAAAACCUGUAUUUUUACCCUUAUAAUAUAUUGAAAAAGAUUUGGUCAAAUUUAAGUGAAUUCAUUUUGUGGUAUCAAGGUGGGUACUCAUUGAUCCGAGGGGUGGCUGUUUAUUUAUUAGUGUAGAUAGGUAGUUAGUGAAUCAAUUUAGGUAGAGUAGGUUAGAUUAGGCCUGGUCUGACAAGGCAGAAGAACCUGUCCUUGAAGACAGAGUAGGGUUUUUAGAAAUUUUAGGUAGUAUUAGGAAUUUUAGGUAUAUUUAUAGAGUAUAAGAUUAGUAAUCUUUCUUUCCUCUUUUCUAUCUAUCUCACUAUCUAUAGUUAAUUGUUAAAAGCUGCUAGAAGUUUUCUUUGGCUUACAGGGAUAGUAUUCAUUUACAACUCUACUAUAUUCUCAUUAAAAUACAAAUAUUUGAAAAUUGGUCUCUUAUUUUGUCAAAACCCCUAUUUUUACCCUUACAGUAUAUUGAAAAAGAUUUGUCAAAUUUAAGUGCAUUCUUUGUGGUAUCAAGGUGGGUACUCCUUGAUUGGGGGGCUUAACCGCCCAAAAACCAUGGUACCUGAAUUUAACAGAAUCACAUGGUGCCAUGAGGAAUGCUCAAUAUGAAGAGCUUAGCAACACAGGGGAGUGCCUAUAUGAACAGAUACAGAGCCAAGUAAGCGGAAACAAAACAAUUUAAAAUGACCACCAUAACUCGGAUUGCUACAUUGACCAGUCUUGACUCUGAAGAUCUGAUCGUGAUGAUGCCAGUUAAGUUGAUAAUGAAUGUUUGUUGACCGAUUCUUUCAGAGAGAAGAUGGUCGACUUCAGGUACAGCAUAAAGCCCACGUGACCACCUGUGGUUUCCUUUAUAACUAAUAGCCCUUCUUUGUCUAAGGAUGCCACCUCGGCUGGCGGGGGGCCGUGUUACGGGGAAAUGACGGCGACAUUUUCAAAAAGCAUCAGGACCACGUGGUGCAGGGCUGGAGAAGCGAAUUCCUUCACAGCCUCCAGAGCAGGACCGAGUGGUGAGAGGAUGGGGUGCUUGAGGCCACCUCUGGGGCCUAGCAGAGUGCCCAAAUGCUAUCACCUGAUGGAUUAUUGAUUGGCUGCUCAUCAGUCUCCCUUUACUCUAGACAACACCCGUCUCCAAGUACUGAAAGGAGGUUUGGGGGACUCCCCAGAGUCCCUGACUUGUGGCGGAAGACCACUGCCAUGCUAGACAAAUGGGGGCUGCGGGGCUAUGUCCGUCCUGAGGGCGGGUCUGUGGGGCCCCUCCCGGCUUGGGGAGCCUGUUGGAGCCUCCGAGGGCCCAGGCUCGCCACCGAGAGGGGCCGGACAAAGCGGCUGGGGUGGGCCUGCUCCGGGGGGGUCCUGAACUUGGACAGAAAGGAUGACCCCCCCUUCCACGACACCCUCGUCUUUUUGUUUCUGCGUUCGCUCCACGGCACGCAGCAGGCCCCCCCCGGCUCCAGGGCCCCCCCGGAAAGCUCGCGAGCAGAGCCGGACUCACGUACAUGGUAG